CUACGGGGUGCUGCAGUGGGGAAUAUUGGACAAUGGGGGAAACCCUGAUCCAGCAAUGCCGCGUGUGUGAAGAAGGCCUGCGGGUUGUAAAGCACUUUCGGUUGGGAGGACUGCUUCUAGCACUAAUAUUGUUGGAAGUUGACGUUACCUUCAGAAGAAGCACCGGCUAACUCCGUGCCAGCAGCCGCGGUAAGUACGGAGGGUGCAAGCGUUAAUCGGAAUUACUGGGCGUAAAGCGCGCGUAGGCGGCUAGAUCAGUCGGGUGUGAAAGCCCCGGGCUUAACCUGGGAACUGCAUCCGAUACUGUCUAGCUUGAGUACAGGAGAGGAGAGUGGAAUUCCACAUGUAGCGGUGAAAUGCGUAGAUAUGUGGAGGAACACCAAUGGCGAAGGCAGCUCUCUGGCCUGAUACUGACGCUGAGGUGCGAAAGCGUGGGGAGCAAACAGGAUUAGAUACCCGGGUAGUC
rnacentral:rRNA from 1 species